GCGUCAAUGGUAUAGUGGUUAGCAUUCAACUCUUCCAAGAAAGUUUCCCUUUCCAAAGUUGAGGAGGGGGUUCGAUUCCCUCUUGACGCA